UCCUAACUCCCGAUCCCUUCCUGCCUCUCUCCCUUCCAUCGCCGGCGCUGUUGACUGGAUCGGGGUGCUGCGGACUGCCGGAUUGGACCCCCCUUGGAUCCACUAGCUUGAUGCUCUCCACCACCGCUGCGCCCACCAUGGCGGCCAGCAAGGCGUGGCUUUGGGUUGUCCCCGUACGGCGGCCGCAUGUCAGCGGCGAUGUACAGCUCUACGCUCUCCGCCUUCGGCCAGCUCCUUGCUUCCAGACGAGGCGUCCUCUGCAUCGUAGUCAUCUUGAGUUGCUGGCUCCUCCUUCGGGAUCGAUUUGACCUCCAGCUUGCUCUGCCACGGAAGAUCUUCAGUCCCUGGCAUAUGUGUUUUUCAUGUUGUGCUCCUACUGCCGUACGGCGGCAGCAUGUCGGCGGCGACGUACAGCUCUAUGCUCUCCGCCUUCGGCCAGCUCCUUGCUUCCGGACGAGGCGUCCUCUGCAUCGUACUCAUCUUGGUUGCUGGCUCCUAGCUCAUUCGGGAUCGAUUUGACCUCCAUCUUGCUCUGCCAUGGAAGGAUCUUCAGUCCCCUGAUGAAGCGGGCGGUUGCAGGCUGCUGCUGGCUACAUGCAGAGGAGGAUUAGGAUUGCAUAAAUGAUUAGGAGAGCUCACUUGAUUUGUUUGGGUCUCAAUUAGUUAAACCGCGAAUUGAUAUUUGUUUCUUGGUGCAGGAGCUUCAAGGCAACAAAGGCAGUAGGCUUCACGGCAACACAUUCUAUGAUUUUCUUCCCAAAUCUGAAACAUUUGGCCCCUAAAUUGUAGUCCCCUUGAGAAAGUCAGAGUAUUGAUGGUCUGGUCUAUGGAUGUUGACAAAUUUGAUUGCAGCCGGGACCGCAAAGAAAGUGCAGUGCUCACCGUUGUAGAUAUCUGCAGGGCAACAUCAAAUUUCAGUGAGAAGAACAUGGCCAGGCAGGGAGCUUCAUGCAUCAUUUGCCUAGCAUGGUAAAAGAGCAAUAUUGUUGUGCCUUUCUUGGAAUCAGGUUCUUCUAUUCCAUAUGGCCACUCUCUUCCGCGAGCGCUGUCUCUGGCAAAAGUUUAGUGAGCAGUGCCUGCCGGAGUCGCAGGACUCCUGCUACCCGGAGGAGCAAUAUUUACGGACACCAGCUCGACGUGGCCGACCCCGCCGGCUGCACCUGGUACACGCUCAUGCGCAUCAACUAUACUGACAGUGUUGACGGCGACCCACAGACUUAUGGCGUGCCAGAGGUGUCGCUGCUGCUCACCGCCGAGCUACGUCAGUCCAACAACUCCACCUAUGAGCACAUGUUCGCGCGCAAGUUCGCGCCUGACUGCCUUGGCCCGCUCAUGGUCAUCGCAGACAUUGUCAUCUUCAAAGAUUGAUCGAUGUCUUUCUCUGCACCAUAGCUGCAUGUAGGAGGUACGUUCUAGCACCUUAUUUCUGAAAAGUUUCAGAGGUUCUAGACAUCACUUCUUCUUGUUUAAUGCUCGUGAGCCAUGCAUGCCAUGUUAAUCACAAAUUUGCAGCCGAUAGAUGGUGAAAACAUAUUGCGAAUGUCACUUCACUCCCUGAAUUCGUUUGAGAUGCUGCAGCAUCUUAUGAGACAAGAUGACUGAAGAACACUGAAUACUUAAUUUGCGAAAAUCUCCUACCUGAUUUAGUUUCCGAAUGUAAGCAUGUUGCUUCAUGUAAUUAGUGAAUAAAUCAGCAACUUGACUAAUUAGCUUCUUCAAUCAGAUUUAAAUCAUGGUUCAUGUAUUUGAAUAAUUUUAUUUUCACAAGUGAUAUCUGACAAAAAGGUGUCUAAUGGCAUGGCCAAGGUCGAUUCUUUUGAUACUUGCAUGAUUAUGUUUUUAAUUCCAUGGAGCUUCGUAAUUACGGCCUAUAAUUCUACACUUACUACUACGAUGAGCUAUAAGUCACUGUUCUAUGAAACAGUUAUCAGUUUGCGUGUAUCUGUCAUAGAACAUUCUUACAUGUUGAUAUCAUCUCUAUACUAGAAAAUUACUCACGCACCUUCUGGCUUAUUUUCAUAGACGAUGUGAUGCCAUGCAUUAUGAUCUUAUGCAAAUGAGGGGGUGUUUGUUUACAGGGACUUAUUGGUGUAGAGACUUAAAAAAGAAACAUGUAGGGACUUUUUAGGGACUAGUGACUUUUUAGUUGGGACUAAAAAAAGUCUUAGGACUUAUGAACCAAACAGGGCCUAAAUAGAAAAAAGUGGUUGCCUUUGAUACUCAUAUUUGUACAGUUUUAGGAGCAUAGGAAAUCUAUGCAUGGAAGCUUAUUAGUGCCAUUCCUAAAAAUAUCUUUUCCGACAAUCCAAUGAUAACCUACAAAAUGGAAACAUGCAUAAACUUCCAUAUGUGGGUAUGAAUUAGAUGAUAAAGUUCAUACACAUUUAGGAGCACAAAAAAUCUAUUUAUGAGAUUUCUGGGUGGCACCCUAUGAUAUCUUUCUGAGUAUAUAUUUAAGUCGUAAUACAAUCAUAUGAUAAACGUACAAUCCAAAGAUAAAACACACAAAAGAAACAUAGAUAAAACUUUAGAUAUGGCGUAACCAUGUGUUCUUGGUUCAUAGCAAAGGGGAUAAAUUUUAGGAGGAAGGAGAGAUGAGGUGAGUUUCUGAAGUUCGCCAUACAAUCCAAGCAUCACAAAAGGUGACAUUACAAAUCCAGGAGACGAAGAAUUAUCCUGUUAAUUUCCUUUUAAAGGAAGGGAGUAGCUUGUGGAGGACGGCCCUCACAUCUAGCUCGGUGAGAUUAGUUUUCUUUAAAAUACAUUUCCUUGCGCUAGAGCGGUUGAAUGACAGGUGCUUGUGGUAGAUGAACUAAGCGUCAUGGAUUUGAGCAUGUUCAAAGGCAUCGUGAUCUGGUGAAAACCGCAACCACCGUAGACGAGGACGGGUGGAGGAUAAGCGGUCACAUGGGUAAGGUAGCACAUUAAAAUAGAGAGCGUUUGGGUUAUUAGGCUAGAGACGUGCGCUAUAUUUUUUUUCUCCCCUUGCAACGCACAGGUAUAUUUGCUAGUAGUACUUAUUCCCGAUAGGAGACAACGACACCGAGUUAGUUUGUGGUUAAUGCAGCAGGACGUCUAUUGCAGGAACUUUUUUUCUUCACGUUUUCAGUUCAGCAAGUUGCUGGGCCGGCCCACUAGGCGGAGCGUGCGAGCACUGCUGGGGCUUAAAGCGCCGAAAAGGAGCAGCCCAGUUUGUGUUUUCCGCUGCCAUUUUCUCUUUUUUUGAGAAUUUUGUAAUGUUUUCUAUAUCUUUUUGUUAUUUUUUAUGAUUUUCAUUUUCCUGUCUUUUUUAUUUUCUAGUUCAUGAUAGUUUUAGUACAUGAACUUUUGAAAGGGCA